UACGAAGGGGGCUAGCGUUGCUCGGAAUCACUGGGCGUAAAGCGCACGUAGGCGGCUUCUUAAGUCAGGGGUGAAAUCCUGGAGCUCAACUCCAGAACUGCCUUUGAUACUGAGAAGCUUGAGUCCGGGAGAGGUGAGUGGAACUGCGAGUGUAGAGGUGAAAUUCGUAGAUAUCUGGAGGAACACCGGUGGCGAAGGCGGCAUCCUGGACCGGUAUUGACGCUGAGGCGCGAAAGCCAGGGGAGCAAACGGG
rnacentral:rRNA from 1 species